rnacentral:rRNA from 1 species
UCUAUAUGUUUAUAAUAUAAAGUGUAGCCUGCCCACUGACGUGGUGUUUAAGGGCUGCGGUAAUUUGACCGUGCAAAGGUAGCAUAAUCACUAGCUUUUUAACUGAAAGCUUGAAUGAACGGCUGGACGAUAGAAUAACUGUCUGAUCUAUUUGAUUAAAAUUUAACUUUUAUGUGAAAAGGCGUAAAUAAGAUAGGGGGACGAUAAGACCCUAUAAAACUUGACGCAUGAUGGCUGGUUCUUAGAUUUAAUUAAUAAGGGUGGGCUUGAGUCUGUUUGGCUGGGGUGGCAAAAAUAUAAAAUUAGUUAACUGUUUGAAGAAAAAGAUACUUAUAGGUAUAGUAAUGAGCCUUUGUUGGAGAUUAAUAGAUUAAGUUACUUUAGGGAUAACAGCGUGAUUUUCUUUGAGAGUGCAUAUCGACAAGAUGAGUUGCGACCUCGAUGUUGAAUUAAGAUGGUGCUUAGGGGCAGAAGUUUAGUGUGGCAGGUCUGUUCGACCUUUAAUAUC